rnacentral:snoRNA from 1 species
GUCCUCCUAAUGCUUACCACAGACAGUACACCCUAGAGUGCUGGCUGUAUAGAAACAGGAGGGACAUUGAUCUCUCCUAACACACAUGCUCUGCCAGCUGUCAUCUGGCAGGGCAGUUGUUGGGUGAGACAG